rnacentral:rRNA from 1 species
UACGGAGGGUGCAAGCGUUGUUCGGAAUUACUGGGCGUAAAGCGCGUGUAGGCGGCCUUUUAAGUCUGGUGUGAGAGCCCGGGGCUCACCCCCGGAAGUGCAUUGGAUACUGGAAGGCUAGAGUACCGGAGAGGAAGGUGGAAUUCCUGGUGUAGCGGUGAAAUGCGUAGAUAUCAGGAGGAACACCGGUGGCGAAGGCGACCUUCUGGACGGAUACUGACGCUGAGACGCGAAAGCGUGGGGAGCAAACAGG